rnacentral:lncRNA from 1 species
GACAACAAAAGAAUAACAUAAAAGUAGCAAAUAUUUUGAUCUCUCAUUAUAUAUAUAUAUAUAUAAGCUAUCUUGCCUCAAACACCUAAUUCAAUCUAUUGACCUAGGACAAGGACUCAAUCCUGAAUUCACUGUAAAAAGCUGAGCUUUCUCCAUUAAUUUAUAGUGAAGACUGGAUCUACAACAUAGAAGUGUACUGCAUUUCAAUUCUCAAGGAUUAGGGAUCGAUUCCAGAUCCCAUAUUUUUUCAAGAAGAGUUUAGGACUUAAUGAACCAAAUCUUAUUUUUUAUUUCAUAAUAGACCUCACUGAAGAUGUAGGUAGCUCUUGAUGAAUGAUGAAACAGUAGUAGUAUGGUACAAAAGCAACAUAAAACAAGAAAAGAAACUCUCAUCACAGGUAUAGUAGCUUUAUUGACAAAACAAUGAAAAUUGUCUUUAUUAUUCAAAUAUUCAGAGUUUAGAUGUUACUCAAAGCCAAUCCUGUUACUUAGCACAAGUUUGGCUCUAGUGUUGUCAUGCUGGAAUACACCAUCCUCUUAUGAGAUGAGGUUCACCAUUGCUAGAUGUAUAUGGUCUGCAAUGAUACUCAAGAUAGUCUCUGGCCUUCAUGGUAUGAAUGACAUCAAUUACAGACCAAGGAAAUCCCAGAUCAUUAUACUGCCACCUCAAGUUUGCUGAAUCUCAGUACAGUGGCUAGAGUCAAUAAAAAACUGUGCUGAUGUCACUAUAUUAUCUGUUCAUCAACUGUCUUUACUGGAAAAGAAAUUCAUUGGGCCAACACAUUUUUUUUCAUUUGUUAUGGAUCAAUGGAAAAAGUACUCAUCUACUUUUGCCAUUCUUGGCACUAUAUGAGUCACUGUUUUUGGUCAGUCGGGAAUAUUGAAUGGGAUGUCUGCUUUUAUAUCCCAAUGCAUUAUUCUAUUGGAGAUCAAUACUGAAUUCCCUUAAUUGUAGGUUACAGUUGCAACAAUAUAUCCUAUCUGACUGGACAAGCUAUGCUAUCCGCCUCCUACUCAGAUCCAACAUCUUUGCCAUUCUUGCUUGUUAUAUACCUGCAGCACAUCUGAAUGAGAAGAGUUCUAGCUGUUUUGGUUAUGGAGUAUCCACCCUCUAAGCAUCCACUAUCAUGUCUCUUUCCAAGUCUAUCAAGUCAUAUUUCUUGAAUAUGCUGUUUAUAUACAGUUUAAACGUUUAUUCAUCCUGAUUGUAGGCUGCAAAUAUACAAGGUUUGGAUUUACUCAAUAUGACCUAUCCCAAGCAUUUUUCAUAUUAUAUACAGGGUAGUAAAAUGUUCCUAUCUUUUUGAUACUAUGUCAGUGAUAUAACAAUGUCUGAU